CCUACGGGUGGCAGCAGUGAGGAAUAUUGGUCAAUGGACGAGAGUCUGAACCAGCCAAGUAGCGUGAAGGAUGACUGCCCUAUGGGUUGUAAACUUCUUUUAUAUGGGAAUAAAAUGUUCCACGUGUGGGAUUUUGUAUGUACCAUAUGAAUAAGGAUCGGCUAACUCCGUGCCAGCAGCCGCGGUAAUACGGAGGAUCCGAGCGUUAUCCGGAUUUAUUGGGUUUAAAGGGAGCGUAGGUGGAUUGUUAAGUCAGUUGUGAAAGUUUGCGGCUCAACCGUAAAAUUGCAGUUGAAUAUGGCAGUCUUGAGUACAGUAGAGGUGGGCGGAAAUCGGGGGGGAGCGGUGAAAUGCUUAGAUAUCACGAAGAACUCCGAUUGCGAAGGCAGUUCACUGGACUGCAAAUGACACUGAGGCUCGAAAGUGUGGGUAUCAAACAGGAAUAGAUACCCUUGUAGUC
rnacentral:rRNA from 1 species